AGGACGAACGCUGGCGGCGUGCUUAACACAUGCAAGUCGAGCGGAAAGGCCCUUCGGGGUACUCGAGCGGCGAACGGGUGAGUAACACGUGAGUAAUCUGCCCCUAGCUCUGGGAUAGCUCCGGGAAACCGGGAUUAAUACUGGAUACGACCACCUUAGACAUCUUUUGUGGUGGAAAGAAUUUCGGCUAGGGAUGAGCUCGCGGCCUAUCAGCUUGUUGGUGGGGUAACGGCCUACCAAGGCGACGACGGGUAGCCGGCCUGAGAGGGCGACCGGCCACACUGGGACUGAGACACGGCCCAGACUCCUACGGGAGGCAGCAGUGGGAAUAUUGCGCAAUGGGCGAAAGCCUGACGCAGCGACGCCGCGUGGGGGAUGACGGCCUUAGGGUUGUAAAGCUCUUUCGCUCGGGACGAUAAUGACGGUACCGAGAUAAGAAGCCCGGCUAACUUCGCGCCAGCAGCCGC
rnacentral:rRNA from 1 species